AGCAAAAUAACGGCGGAUACAAAGAGAAAUAGACGACAAAAAAUAGACCGGUUUCGCGAGGCAGAUCGGCGACUGGGACUCCGACCUUCAAGGCUGCCACCGGGAAAGCGACGGAUGGAGGGGCGUUCGGACAGACGAAGCAGUCCCAAGAUUCUUGGAUUUUGGGACUCCAUUCCUGUGGAUCCCACCACAAUCGUCAUGGUAUCUCCUCCCUCAUCGCCGGAACCUAUUACUCCGGCCGAAGACGACGAUUCAGGUCCAGAGUCUGUGGCCAUGGAUUCGAGAAACGAGCAUGAUUCCGCUGAAUUCGCGGGAAAGGGUUUCGGGAAAGGAAAGGGUCGGACCACGCGUGUAUUCGCAGAUGCGACUGCCUUCGGACGGAAACGUCAAGUUUUCGGCGGGGAAACGACCCGCCGUAUCAGAUUAGCCGUCGUCUUCGGCGAGAAUAGAGACUAGGGUUUCGGAGGAUCAGCCUGCUUCCAGCGGUGAAGGUAUGUCGAGGCGGGUGUUGCCGCCGUCUAUGGCUCUGUCCGAGCAGUGGGGUGCUGGGAAAUGGAAAGAGGACUGGAGGACAAAGAGGAAGAAAGUCGAUGAGACAACUGAUUCGAUGUUUCUCAAAGAAGUCAUUGAAGUUCUGAUUCGAAACUCUGGUGAGGCUGGGGAAGAAGAAAACGACAUGGAAAACUUUAGCUAUGUGGAAUUGUUGAAAUCUUUGGGCAUAAGGUUUCCUGAGUAAGUGUGAAAAUUCCUGUGGGAAGAUAUAAGAUGUUGAUUACCUGAUGAAUGAGCUGCUGAUCAAAGGCUGCGACUUGUAAGCAGCAAUGGACUCUGCAUCAUUGGCUCGUUGCCAGAUGAUGGAGACUUCUUCCCCGAGAACACACCUGAGUGGAGGAUCAAUGUCAUUGUAGUAAACCACAUGUGCUGUUGAGGAAAACGUUUGCUGGUCAUUGUCACAGUUUUCCGUGUCCGGUUUUUAAGAUUUCACCUCCCACACCUUUGGCCAGAUUCUGAGUUCUGAAGGGUCUUCCUCGUUAGUUUGGUUCCUGCAGGAGAAUGAUUACCAUUUUUCGGACAUCUGUACAAGAGAUGCAAUUCUGCAAUUGUUUGUUACAUCACUGUUAGAAUUCACAUCAAGGUUCAGGAUUUUCCGAUAAACAAAUUGCUGAAGGGCUUUAAUAGUGGAUUAGAGACGUGUGGUUGUAGAUAUACAUGGAAGUAUUUAUGUGGAAUCUAUAUUUUGCAUUAAGAAAUCUCAAUGUGUCAAUAUAGUUUGAUUGUUGUGAGAUAACAUCCUACGAAGCACGAACGCGCGAAGGCUAACUGCUAAAGGGUCAAGUGCAUAACAUUCUAGGAAUACUCUGAAAGCAUUCAAGGAAAGACGACUGCAGUUUGGGAACUCGAUAAUGGUCUAUCUGUGGACAAAACUGUGAUUGAUACACUGUAAACCUAUCAAUUGAUUGCCCAGGUAGUUAGUUUCUUUGUUUUUUUUCUGCUAUUAUCUUUAUACAUCAAAUCACAGGAACGUUGUUAGACGAGCAGUUCCGAUGAUACGGGAAUUACGGCUUCAGAUGUGGCAUGACAUUCAACCCGUUGCAAUGACAAAGUUUGUCACCAAAGUCGUGUUACAACCAAUACAGACUGCUACUGGGAUUACAAGCAACCAGUCACUUGAUUCAUAAAAUUAAUGCAGAUAUGGUUAUGAUGAUGGGUGGAAACGAAGAAUUCAUACGGCCUACCCAAAAUAAACUUGGGAUUGAAUCGAUGUUGAUGUUGACGGUUUCAGUGAUGUUCACUUUGUAGAUAGAGGAACCCUUGUGCUUGGUGUGCUGCAGUAGUAAGGUACAGGUUCAAAUGGUGGCUUGUCACUCAGGUCAGUACUCAGUCGGUAUUCUGUUUCCUUACAGAACAUCGACUAAUAAUAUCAAUCGGCCAUGUUGUUUUCGAAACUUCUGUCUUUGUUUCUGCAGGACCAUACAUCAAAUGGUUGUCUCUCUCAUUGAUUUGCAAGAGAUUUGUUCUUGCCUUUCCUCUAGAACUCAUCCUUCAUUCCUGCAGGAAACUGCACAUAGGAAUGCUUCCACAAGCAAAGCUGAAAAGUGAGAGACACUAAUGGUCGGUUCAUAUGAUUAUAGGAUAAUAUAAUAAAACAAAUAUGUAAACUUUAUUACAAGUUUAUGGUUAUAUCAAGAUGGUGGGCUGUGGGCUGUCCACAUAUUUGUGAUAAAACGAUAUGGUUACAGUAUUUAACGUCUGAUUUUUUAUGAUGUAAGUUUGCAUAUUGAAGUGUUA